rnacentral:rRNA from 1 species
AGAGAGCUUGCUCUCUGGAUCAGUGGCGAACGGGUGAGUAACACGUGAGCAAUCUGCCCCUGACUCUGGGAUAAGCGCUGGAAACGGCGUCUAAUACCGGAUACGAGCUGCGAAGGCAUCUUCAGCAGCUGGAAAGAACUUCGGUCAGGGAUGAGCUCGCGGCCUAUCAGCUAGUUGGUGAGGUAAUGGCUCACCAAGGCGUCGACGGGUAGCCGGCCUGAGAGGGUGACCGGCCACACUGGGACUGAGACACGGCCCAGACUCCUACGGGAGGCAGCAGUGGGGAAUAUUGCACAAUGGGCGCAAGCCUGAUGCAGCAACGCCGCGUGAGGGACGACGGCCUUCGGGUUGUAAACCUCUUUUAGCAGGGAAGAAGCGAAAGUGACGGUACCUGCAGAAAAAGCACCGGCUAACUACGUGCCAGCAGCCGCGGUAAUACGUAGGGUGCAAGCGUUAUCCGGAAUUAUUGGGCGUAAAGAGCUCGUAGGCGGUUUGUCGCGUCUGCUGUGAAAACUGGGGGCUCAACCCCCAGUCUGCAAUGAGUACGGGCAGACUAAAGUGCGGUAGGGGAGAUUGGAAUUCCUGGUGUAGCGGUGGAAUGCACAGAUAUCAGGAGGAACACCGAUGGCGAAGGCAGAUCUCUGGGCCGUAACUGACGCUGAGGAGCGAAAGGGUGGGGAGCAAACAGGCUUAGAUACCCUGGUAGUUC